GGUCCCGUAGCGCAGAGGCAGGCGCACUGCCUCAUCAGGGCAGACACGCCGGUUCGAAUCCGGCCGGGACCA
rnacentral:tRNA from 1 species